CUGCAUGAUGAGAUACCUUUAUUCACACUGUAUGAGAAAAUUUCGCUGAUUUUCGAAAAACAUAAAACUGAUUUAAUGACUCUGACA
rnacentral:snoRNA from 2 species